rnacentral:rRNA from 1 species
UACAGAGGUCCCAAGCGUUGUUCGGAUUCACUGGGCGUAAAGGGUGCGUAGGUGGUCGGGUAAGUCUGAUGUGAAAUCUCCAGGCUCAACCCGGAAAUGGCAUUGGAUACUAUUCGGCUAGAGGGUUGAGGGGGACUGGAAUACUUGGUGUAGCAGUGAAAUGCGUAGAUAUCAAGUGGAACACCAGUGGCGAAGGCGAGUCCCUGGAAAACUCCUGACACUGAGGCACGAAAGCUAGGGGAGCAAACAGG